rnacentral:tRNA from 1 species
UAGCUAGCUCAGUUGGCAGAGCAUGAGACUCUUAAUCUCAGGGUUGUGGGUUCGAGUCCCGUGUUGGCAA